UACGGAGGGGGCUAGCGUUGUUCGGAAUUACUGGGCGUAAAGCGCACGUAGGCGGAUUUUUAAGUCAGGGGUGAAAUCCCGAGGCUCAACCUCGGAACUGCCUUUGAUACUGGAGAUCUUGAGUCCGGAAGAGGUAAGUGGAACUGCGAGUGUAGAGGUGAAAUUCGUAGAUAUUCGCAAGAACACCAGUGGCGAAGGCGGCUUACUGGUCCGGAACUGACGCUGAGGUGCGAAAGCGUGGGGAGCAAACAGG
rnacentral:rRNA from 1 species